UGAGGAAUUUUGCGCAAUGGGGGCAACCCUGACGCAGCGACGCCGCGUGCGGGAUGAAGGAGCUUUGCUUCGUAAACCGCUGUCGGAUAGGAAGAAAAACGGUAAGAACCGUCGGGACAGUACUAUCAAAGGAAGCACCGGCUAACUACGUGCCAGCAGCCGCGGUAAUACGUAGGGUGCGAGCGUUGUCCGGAAUUACUGGGUGUAAAGGGUGCGCGGGCGGAUUUGCGCGUCGAAGGUUAAAGACCUUGGCUUAACCAAGGAAGUGCGCUCGAUACGGCAAGUCUUGAAUGUGAGAGAGGAUGGUAGAAUUCCUGGUGUAGCGGUGAAAUGCGUAGAUAUCAGGAGGAAUACCGGUGGCGAAGGCGGCCAUCUGGCUCAUUAUUGACGCUUAGGCACGAAAGCGUGGGGAGCGAACA
rnacentral:rRNA from 1 species